rnacentral:tRNA from 1 species
AAGGGUAUAGCUCAAAGUGGCAGAGCUCAUGCAUAGCAUGCAUGAGGUCCUGGGUUAAAUUUCCAAUACCUUCU